rnacentral:rRNA from 1 species
CUACGGGUCGCUGCAGUGGGGAAUAUUGCACAAUGGAGGAAACUCUGAUGCAGCAACGCCGCGUGGAGGAUGACACUUUUCGGAGCGUAAACUCCUUUUAUAUAGGAAGAAGAUGACGGUACUAUAUGAAUAAGCGCCGGCUAACUACCGUGCCAGCAGCCGCGGUAAUACGGAGGGCGCAAGCGUUACUCGGAAUCACUGGGCGUAAAGAGCGUGUAGGCGGAUUAAAAAGUCAGAAGUGAAAUCCUAUAGCUUAACUAUAGAACUGCUUCUGAAACUCUUAAUCUAGAAUAUGGGAGAGGUAGAUGGAAUUUCUGGUGUAGGGGUAAAAUCCGUAGAGAUCAGAAGGAAUACCGAUUGCGAAGGCGAUCUACUAGAACAUUAUUGACGCUGAGGCGCGAAAGCGUGGGGAGCAAACAGGAUUAGAUACCCGCGUAGUC